ACGGGAGGCAGCAGUGGGGGAUAUUGCACAAUGGGGGAAACCCUGAUGCAGCGACGCCGCGUGAGUGAUGAAGUAUUUCGGUAUGUAAAGCUCUAUCAGCAGGGAAGAAAAUGACGGUACCUGACUAAGAAGCUCCGGCUAAAUACGUGCCAGCAGCCGCGGUAAUACGUAUUGAGCAAGCGUUAUCCGGAUUUACUGGGUGUAAAGGGAGCGUAGACGGUUUGCCAAGUCUGAUGUGAAAGCUAGGGGCUCAACCCCUAAACUGCAUUGGAAACUGGUAGACUAGAGUGUCGGAGAGGUAAGUGGAAUUCCUAGUGUAGCGGUGAAACGCGUAGAUAUUAGGAGGAACACCAGUGGCGAAGGCGGCUUACUGGACGAUAACUGACGUUGAGGCUCGAAAGCGUGGGGAGCAAACAGGAUUAGAUACCCUGGUA
rnacentral:rRNA from 1 species